GCUUGUUAGAAUAAGCCGAAGAGAAAACGGAUGGGUGGAAAAUGCAGGAGACAGUGAAUUGAUUGUGAAAUGGUCUCCGCGGGCAUCCAUCAGCUGUCUUUAUGCUUGAGGUUUGGCUGCUGGAGCCGCCGCUGGUGGCUGCUUGCCACCAAUGGACCUCAAUGGAGCACAAACAGGACAUCUGCAUGCCUACUUGUUUAUCACAGCUCGGAAAAAAAGCAACCUUUUUAACAACUGCAUCGGAAUUAUUUAAAAAAAAGUUUAAUAAAUGUAUUAGUUUAAUUAAACAAAAACUAGUGUUGGUUAUUUUUGUCUCUAUUAUGCGGAUAAAUAUGUUCAUGGAAUUCUUUUGCCAGUUAUUUCAUGUUAUGACGUAGUCAUGGUAUGUUUAAUUUUUCCUUUUGUAGGGAGUGAUUGUAUAUUGAAUCUUGCCGAUUGCAUCAGAAAUGUUGGAGAUGAUGUACACUUUUUUUUCCUCCCCAAUUGCAUAUCUAUCCAGACUUCAGGGACACCAUACAGACAAUAUGCAAUUUAUAUUGAAAAGCCAUUUUAAUCGUCCCUGACCUCUACUUUGCUGGCAGAUAAUAAAACUUGACACCGA